rnacentral:rRNA from 1 species
UACGUAGGGGGCAAGCGUUGUCCGGAAUCAUUGGGCGUAAAGAGCGUGUAGGCGGUUCGGUAAGUCGGCUGUGAAAGUCCAGGGCUCAACCCUGGGAUGCCGGUCGAUACUGCCGGACUAGAGUUCGGAAGAGGCGAGUGGAAUUCCCGGUGUAGCGGUGAAAUGCGCAGAUAUCAGGAAGAACACCGACGGCGAAGGCAGCUCGCUGGGACGGUACUGACGCUGAGGCGCGAAAGCGUGGGGAGCGAACAGG